rnacentral:rRNA from 1 species
UACAUAGGUCUCAAGCGUUGUUCGGAUUCAUUGGGCGUAAAGGGUGCGUAGGUGGCGGGGUAAGUCAGGUGUGAAAUCUCGAGGCUCAACCUCGAAACUGCACUUGAUACUGCCUUGCUCGAGUACUGGAGAGGAGAUUGGAAUUUACGGUGUAGCAGUGAAAUGCGUAGAUAUCGUAAGGAAGACCAGUGGCGAAGGCGAAUCUCUGGACAGUUACUGACACUGAGGCACGAAGGCCAGGGGAGCAAACGGG